rnacentral:rRNA from 1 species
UUAGGAAUCUUGCGCAAUGGACGAAAGUCUGACGCAGCGAUACCGCGUGAAGGAUGAAGGCCCUCGGGUCGUAAACUUCUUUUUUGAGAUAUAACUUUCUCUAGAAUAAGCAACUACUAACUACGUGCCAGCAGUCGCGGUAAUACGUAGGUUGCAAGCGUUACCCGGUUUUAUUGGGCGUAAAGAGUCUGUAGGCGGCCUUAUAAGUCUUGUUUCAAAGACCCCGACUUAAUCGGGGAAAGGGGCAGGAUACUGUUAGGCUAGAGUUAUAUUGGGGUUACUGGAAUUUGUAGUGUAGGGGUAAAAUCCGUGGAUACUACAAAGAACACCAAGCGCGAAGGCGGGUAACUAAAUAUUUACUGACGCUCAGAGACGAAAGCUAGGGUAGCCAAUCAG